rnacentral:rRNA from 1 species
AUGAAAUCGACGGUGCUGCGAGGGUCCGCCUUCCGCGGUGCCAUCCCAGCGGCGGCUGCCGGUAGGCUUUCAGGGGUAGAGGGAGUAGCGGUCGUCCUCCAGCCCUCACACAGCCGUCGGCUGCAUUCCUCUACUCGAGCUGAUUUGCCUCCCAAGUCUUCACUAGACGAGUUAGAUGCACUGUAUGAGGUGGUUCGAGCAACCAAGGUUUCCUCAUUGAGUAAUGAUAUCCUUACGCGCAUCAUUGAGAGGGUUCGAGCAACCAAGGUUUCCUCAUUGAGUAAUGAUAUCCUUACGCGCAUCAUUGAGAGCUCUUCAAAUGCUCGUAGGGAGUUUGUCCAGAAGGAAGUGCGGAGGACAUGGAUGAUUUGUGCUGCAACAGUAGGUGGUUUUUUCACUGGAUUAUUAAUAACAAGGAAGAUGGAUAACAAGACAGAGAGAGAGCUCGGGAAUGAAACUUACGACAACCUCGCGAAGUAG